ACUUCUGAGACCAGGCCCCCCACUUAGUGUAUUUGACAAGCUGAGUUGGACACUCUAUCUCUGUGAGUGUCAGUUUGUCAAAUACCCCAAGUGAGGUGUCACUUGUCGAC
rnacentral:pre_miRNA from 12 species